rnacentral:lncRNA from 1 species
AUUACAAUAGCCUCACUUCUUAUUUUCUUAUCAAAUACCAUUUUAGUCCCAUUGCAAUAUAAACACUGAUACAGCUCUUUGACCAAACUGUUUCACCUCUUUCAAACCUUGCUUUAAUGUCGGUCUCUCAAUGAGACCUACCCUGUCUACCAUAUUUAACUUGCAAACCCAUUACUCUGCUCUACUGAUUCGUUUUUCCAUAAUACUUAUUACCAUCCAACAUACCAUAUAAUUAACUUAUUUAUUGUGUUUAUUGUUUAUGUCUCCAUUACUAAGGGGAAAAUAUCUUUGUCAGAUUUUUGUUCACUGGUAUAUUCCAGGAGCCUAGAGCAGUUUCUGAUACAUAGUGGGCCCCACCACAUACUUAUUUUUGAUGAAUUUAUUUCCAUUAUGUUCAGUGUCUCCAUUCGUGCUGAAAGGCAGUAUAGUUAGCAG